rnacentral:rRNA from 1 species
CCCGGCAGGGGUUCCGCCGACGGGGUUGCAGGGCCGCGCAUCCGGGGGCUGCCGCCCCCGGGCGCAGGUCCGGCUGGGGAGCGGAACGGCAUGGGAGGGCCGGCCGCAGCGGGUGACAGCCCCGUACGCGAACCCAGACCGGACGGCGCGACGCGGUCCCUGAGUAGGGCCGGGCACGUGAAACCCGGUCCGAACCUGGGUGGACCACCAUCCAAGCCUGAGUACUACCCUGUGACCGAUAGCGCACCAGUACCGUGAGGGAAAGGUGAAAAGCACCCCGGGAGGGGAGUGAAACAGUACCUGAAACCGUGCGCCCACGAGCAGUCGGAGCACCCUUUAAGGGUGUGACGGCGUGCCUUUUGUAGAAUGAGCCAGCGAGUCGCUGGCGCGGGGCGAGGUUAACCGAAAGGGAGCCGAAGCGAAAGCGAGCCUUAACAGGGCGACUUGAGUCCCGCGCCGCGGACGCGAAGCCGGGUGAGCUAUCCGUGGGCAGGCUGAAGCGGGGGUAAGACCCCGUGGAGGGCCGAACGCACGUCGGUUGAAAACGGCGGCGAUGACCUGCGGAUAGGGGUGAAAGGCCAAUCAAACCCGGAGAUAUCUCGUUCUCCCCGAAAUAGCUUUAGGGCUAGCGUCGCGCGUUCACCGCCGGAGGUAGAGCACCGGAUGGACGAGGGGGCUUCGCCGCCUACCGAAUCCAACCGAACUCCGAAUGCCGGCGGCCCAGAGCGCGGCAGUCAGAGCAUGUGGGCUAAGCUGUGUGCUCGAGAGGGAAACAGCCCGGACCGCCCGCUAAGGUCCCCAAGUUCCAGCCGAGUGGCAAAGGAUGUGCGUCCGCCCAGACAACCAGGAUGUUGGCUUAGAAGCAGCCAUCCAUUCAAAGAGUGCGUAACAGCUCACUGGUCGAGUGGACAUGCGCCGACAAUACACGGGGCUAAGCUGGACACCGAAGCGGCGGGAUUUUAAUUCAUUAGAAUCGGUAGGGGAGCUUCCCAUGGGCGGAGAAGCCGGAGGGCGACCGACGGUGGAGCGCAUGGGAGUGAGAAUGCUGGCAUGAGUAGCGAGAGACGAGAGAGUAACUCGUCCGCCGUGAACCCGAGGUUUCCUGGGCAAGGCUAAUCCUCCCAGGGUCAGUCGGGGGCUAAGGCGAGGCCGGUAGGCGUAGCCGACGCGCAGCAGGCAGACAUUCCUGCACCGCGCACGCGGCGCUACGACCGACGGGGCGACGGAUGGGGGUGGCUCGGCGGGGUUCUGGACGUCCCCGUGAUGGAGCGCGGCCCGCGGACCAGGGAAAUCCGGUCCGCAUUGAGGGCGAGGCUCCGGACGAAGCGACUGAGCGAAGCGAGUGAGCCCGAGGUCCCUAGAAAAACCCCUAGGCAGGCGCGUGCGCGCCCGUACCGCAAACCGACACAGGUGGGUGGGUAGAACAUACCGAGGCGAUCGGGUCAACCAUGGUCAAGGAACUCGGCACAAUGGCCCCGUAACUUCGGGAGAAGGGGUGCCCGCGCGUACGUGAACGGACUUGCUCCGGGAGCGGAGGCGGGCCGCAGUGGAGAGGCCCAAGCGACUGUUUACCAAAAACACAGGACUCUGCAGAAGCCGCAAGGCGACGUAUAGGGUCUGACGCCUGCCCGGUGCCGGAAGGUCACGCGGAGGAGUUAGCCGCAAGGCGAAGCCCCGAAGCCAAGCCCCGGUAAACGGCGGCCGUAACUAUAACGGUCCUAAGGUAGCGAAAUUCCUUGUCGGGUAAGUUCCGACCUGCACGAAAGGCGCAACGACUUGGGCGCUGUCUCGACCAUGGACCCGGUGAAAUUGCACUGGUCGUGAAGAUGCGACUUACCCGCGGAAGGACGGAAAGACCCCGUGAACCUUCACUGCAGCUUGGCAUUGGCCGCUGGUCCCGCGUGUAGAGGAUAGGCAGGA